GUGCUUGCUUUGGUAGCACAUAUAUUAAAACUAGAACAAUUCAUAGAAAAUUAGCAUGGCCCUUGUACAAGGAUGACAUGCAAAUUUGUGAAGAAAAUAUUUU